ACAUACGACCAUAGGGUGUGGAAAAUAGGGCUUCCCGUCCGCUCAGCCGUACUCAAGCUACACGCCGGUGAGUUAGUAGUUGGGUGGGUGACCACCAGCGAAUCCUCACUGUUGUAUGUU
rnacentral:rRNA from 1 species